rnacentral:rRNA from 1 species
UACGGAGGGGGGCUAGCGUUGUUCGGAAUUACUGGGCGUAAAGCGUACGUAGGCGGCUUUGUAAGUUAGAGGUGAAAGCCCGGGGGCUCAACCCCGGAAUUGCCUUUAAGACUGCAUCGCUUGAACGUCGGAGAGGUGAGUGGAAUUCCGAGUGUAGAGGUGAAAUUCGUAGAUAUUCGGAAGAACACCAGUGGCGAAGGCGGCUCACUGGCCCGGUACUGACGCUGAUGUGCGAAAGCGUGGGGAGCAAACAGGAUUGA